UUAUCAAUAACACUUUCUAUACUUAAAGGUGAAAAAUCAGAGAGUCACCAAAUAGAAUCAUCGAGAAGAAAAAAAAACACCUAGGAAAAACAAAGGGUUGAAAGUCGACCACCGUUGUGCGACUUUCAACACCACCUCUCUCUCUCUCUCUCUCUCUCUCUCUCUUCUCUCUGUUUCGUACCCCUCUUUCCUCAAAAGUCGAUUUAGAUCUGUGUUUUUGGUGGACGAUGUUUGUACCAAACCCUAAUUUUCGUUUGGUGUGUUGACCGUGAGUUUACAGACAGCCCUGUCCCGUGUUCUCCGAUUAGCUCUCCAGCAGCCAUCUACGGCGGAGGUUUGUUCCACCGUGAAGUGUCAGCUAUAGUGGUGGACUUGGGUUCACACACUUGCAAGGCUAGCAACGUCGGCGAAGAUGCUCCCAAGGCCGUUUUCCCUUCCGUUGUUGGGGCAGUAGCGAUGGAUGUGGAUGUUGAUUCUUCAAAGACAAAUUCCAAUUCCGAGGAUCCGAAGUCUGAAAAGGGGAAGGGUGAACGCAAGCUCUACGUGGGAUCUCAAGCCUUGAAUUACUGCAGGGAUCAAAGACGGAGUUGUCUGAUUAUUGAUCCUAAGGAGCAUCCAAUGCUGCUAGCUGAGCCUCCUUUAAACACUCAACAAGCUGUAGACUACUCUGCUUUCAGGUUCUUAUGAUUUUACUCAUGUCUGUAAUCUGCAGGUUUCAAGAUCCUCGGGUUGCAAGACAGACUCUCUAACAGAGUGGGAUAUUCCUUCUGGUGACACCUCUUAUUGAGUAUGUGAGGACUUAAACCAAGCCAAAAGAAGGGACGUUGUUACUUGCUCUUCUCAAUAUCGGUUUCUGUUCUCUUUCUAAAGGAUUGUUGUUCAUCUUUCUCAUCGCUACAGGGCUUGGAAACUCGAUCUGAGUUAUCAUCGUUUUUAUUUCCAUAGUUCUCCCUCUGCUUGAUAUACAUAUUCUUCUUCUGCCCUAGGUGUUCUUAACGAGGCCAGUUUGUUGUGGUUCAGUAACACACAACUCCAACGCAACUAGAAAUGAACCAAUGAAGUCAAAGACGUCUUGCGACAGAGCCUGUCUUCUCUUCAACGCUGGAUCUGAAGAAACUGUGGUGUGGAGAUGGCAGAGGAAGCUAGCUGUGGUGGUGGGAACUGAGCAAGAAUAAGAAGAAGAGAGGAGGAGAAGGAGUCAAGGAGAGAAGACAGAGACACAGAGGAAGAACAGGAUGCGGCGAGGUAGAUGGAAGAGGAAUCUAGCAAUGGUGGUAGAGAUGGAGCCAAGCAAGAAGAAGAGAUAGGUGGCGGCACUAGAAGAUAGAACAUGAAUGCCUUAGAAAUUUUAGGUUUUUUUGGGAUACUGAUGUAAAUACAUUUUGGUUUAUUAAUGAAAUAUAAAUUAAAUAUUA